GCCUUGAGCUGGGGGUGCCCUGUGGGCUGAGAGAUACCCUUUGAACCUGAUCCGGAUAAUACCGGCGAUUUGGUAGUCUGUUGAAUCCAACA
rnacentral:ncRNA from 1 species